rnacentral:lncRNA from 1 species
GUGUUUAUGGGCUCCUGUGGACUCACAGCCUAUUCAAAGUGGUCUAGCUCGGCUGUGCUUUUAUGUGGGUUUAAUCUGAAUAUGCCGGCUUGUGUAAAGUAGAAAUGUAUUGUAUUGCCAAUUUUCAGAGAACCUGAAUUAGCUCAGCUAUUCUGAACAUAAUUUAAUCUUUCUUUAAUGAUUCAAUAGGUGCUUUGAAGUCUCGCACUAAUCAGAGUCAUGGUCAUGAAUAUCAGAACUUGAUAUUGAAGAAGCAUAAAAGUGCUCAUCAAAGAAUUAGGUGACGGAAAUGGCAGGAAACAGCAUAAGUGGAUGCUUCUGUGAGAGUGCAGGUAUGACCAUGUGUGUCAGUGGGCAUGUGGAAGCCUGGUGUGAUAGGUCUAACUGGGAUAACAUUGACCUCACCACAAGCAAUGAAUGACCCUAUCAAAAAGUCAGCCUGGGCCGGGCGCGGUUGCUCAUGCCUGUAAAAAAUUUAAUAAUGUCAGCCUGCUCCCACACUUCCCAAGGAGAAUUUGGUCUUUGCUAACUUGGGCCUCAGUUGAGCAGAUUUGGAGUGAAGGGUGAAGAUGAGAAUUGUCCUCCCCGGAAAAGGCCCAAGAGCCCCAGACAGAGUUUAAUCCCCUUGAAUAGGUAAAAGAGAAAUGAACAGAUAUGUAAGGUGGUCAGGGGGAGACCAGAGCUGGGUUUAGAAGGAAGUAGAGUGUUAGGAGGCAGCUGCCAUGAUUGUAAAUAUACAGGUGUACGUGCACAUGAAGUGGGAAUAAUGACAUCUCCCCCAUUAGGUUGCUAUGAGACCUAAGAAGCCCGCAUGCUUUGCUGUGGACUGAAUGUUUGCAUACCCUCCUGAAUUCAUAUGCUGAAGCCUAAAUCCCCAAUUUGAUGGUAUACGAAGGUGGGGCCUUUGGGAGGUAAUUAGGUCAUGAAAGUGGAGCCCUCAUGAAUAGGAAGAAUGCCCUUAUAAAAGAAAUUCCAACAAGCUGCCUUGCCCCUUUUCUGCCAUUUGAGAAAACAGUGAGAAAUUGCUGCCUGUGAACCAGGAAGCGGGUGCUCACCGGACACUGAAGCCACUGGCACCUUGAU